rnacentral:rRNA from 1 species
CCUACGGGAGGCAGCAGUCGAGAAUCAUUCACAAUGGGGGAAACUCUGAUGGUGCGACGCCGCGUGGGGGAAUGCAGGUCUUCGGGUUGUAAACCCCUGUCAUGUGGGAGCAAAUUAAAAAGAUAGUACCACAAGAGGAAGAGCCGGCUAACUCUGUGCCAGCAGCUGCGGUACUACAGCGGUCUCAAGCGUUGUUCGGAAUCACUGGGCGUAAGGGGUGCGUAGGCGGUUUGGGAAGUCGGGUGUGAAAGGGCGGGGCUCAACCCGCGGACGGCACAUGAUAAUGGGAGACUAGAGUAAAGGAGGGGGAGGCGGAAUUCUCGGUGUAGCAGUGAAAUGCGUAGAGAUCGAGAAGAACACUCGUGGCGAAGGCGGGUUCCUAAACAAUAACUGACGUUGAGGCACGAAGGCCAGGGGAGCGAAAGGGAUUAGAUACCCGAGUAGUC